GAUGAAGAACGCAGCGAAAUGCGAUAAGUAGUGUGAAUUGCAGAAUUCAGUGAAUCAUCGAAUCUUUGAACGCACAUUGCGCCCCUCGGUAUUCCGUGGGGCAUGCCUGUUCGAGCGUCAUUUAACCCCUCAAGCCUAGCUUGGUAUUGGGUGCUUGUCCCGCCUCUCGCGCGGCGACUCACCUCAAAGUCAUUGGCAGCCCGCAUCUCGCCAGCCGUGAGCGCAGCACAGACGCGCUCUUGGCAACGACGGAUCGGCUCUCCAAAAGCUUAUUUCAACCACUGACCUCGGAUCAGGUAGGGAUACCCGCUGAACUUAAGCAUAUCAAUAAGCGGAGGA
rnacentral:misc_RNA from 1 species